UUAAAAUAGAAGCUACAAGAAAUACAAAUGAAAAUAUCGUUAAUGAAGAUUGUGAUAGCAAUGUAUCGACUUUUGCAACAACUGAGAAAGGGAUCAAAGCCAAAAAAGAGUAGAAUUGAGAAUAUAUCAACUUUGUCCAAAACAAUUGGAGAGUCGGCAACAAACAUUGAUAAUGAGAUUGAAAAAGUGAUUGAUAGGCUUAGUUGAGCAUUAGAAGAUGUUAAAACUGUCGAAAUAAUCAAAUAGUGUAGUGACAAAGUUACUGAGUCUCAGUAUAUCUGAAAGGCAUAAUAGGGCUACUCAAAAAUUAGUUAUAGUCGUGGGCUAACCCACGUCUUCUUCAUAAUUUCGAUGAACAGAUAGAAGCAUUUGUGAAGGCAUUGUUUAAUGGAGUACCUCUCCGACGACGACACAGCUUGAAAACUCCCUUUCUUUCUCCUCUUCUGGCGGACACAACAGAGAGACGCUGCGAUUCCUCUAUCGCCAGCGUGGUCCUGUCGUUUUCCGACGAGACUAGCUGAAGGCCAGUCGAUUUGGUCCUUUCCCUACCGCUUACAGCUUUGUCGGCCAUCGUAUCCAUAAAUUCCAGCCAAGCUAUUACUGGCAAUGCUGUAUUUUGGGAUAUUGGAACUGUUUCUGGUUAUUUUUCCAAAAAAUUAGUGGCUAGCUAAUCUCAUUUUGAAUGUUUUCUAAUAUAUUUAAUAAAUAUUGAUUAUGAUUAGAAGGUUUUAAUAAAA